CCACCAGAUGCGCACAGUAGGAGCAUGGGCGACAGAGCCCUGCAACAAAUCAACUCCUUUUCCUCACGGGAACAAGAUGAAUGUGCGACCAAAUCCUCCGUAAUUAGACUGAGUCUCUAGGACUCGGAUGCACUAUCUCAACCACUGUGGCCGACUUACAUUGGCCUCUUAACGCAGUGAAGUCACCUUACAGAAUUUUGAAAUCAGAAAGUUUUUUUCGGGUUAUUAUUAUAUUCCUUCUAUUGGUUUGUCUGCCCUCCCUUUAUUUCUUUUGGUCUCCAGGCCAGGUAUCCCAAUUCUUUUUUUUAAAAGCGACUCUACUUUCAUAACGGACACAAAGCUGCCCUUUGCCGGCUCUGAUCACUUCAAAAGAGAACGAUCACUCACAUCACGCCGCGGAGAAUUGAUCACUGGAGGUUUCCAUUACGAUAACAACUCCUGAUUCAUGAUCUGGCUGCAAUGGCCAGAAAAACAGUCUUCUUCAACAGUAGGUAGACAGUCAACAGUGUCCAAGCCAAUAAAAUUUGUAUGCUUGCCCGACCAUUCGCUCUGGCUCUACGGUCCCAUCCUGCAACUCGCAUGAUUUCGCCUUCGUCCCUUUUGUGUGUAAGAAUUCUAAUUCCGGGACGAUAUAUUCGUGUUUUGGAUUGUCCAACAUGACUUGGCUUUUUAUAACUAGUUAAGUUAGUUGAUGAGCGGCACGGAAAAGUUUGUAGUUUUUUUCAUCUUUUUGGCUCUUGGCCCCUAGUUACCAGCUAUUGAUUACAUACGUAGUACAUAUAAGAGAGAGAGAGAGAGAGAGAGAGAAGGCUCGAAUACAAUUUGCAGUUGUUCAGUUCCUUGGGUUAUCGUUUUCUAAACAUAGGUCGUUGACGUCACUGGUUUGUAGAUGGACAAAUGCUGAAUCGACGAGAACAUAGGUAGAUAGAUAUUCAGAACAGGAAAGAAGAAAAUUAAAAGCAA
rnacentral:sRNA from 2 species